rnacentral:lncRNA from 1 species
AAAGAAAAUGAAGAAGAAAAAUAAAGAAAGAAAGAGAAUAGCAAGUAUUGGAAGAACAUAGAGACUUGGGAACGUCGGGUGUUGCUGGCAGGAAUGCAAAAUGAUGCGGCAGCUGUCUGAAGCAGGAUGGUAGUGCCUCAAUAGAACUGAACAUAGCUGGGUGCCGUGGCACAUACCGUGACCCUAGCAACUCAGGAGGCUGAGGCAGGAGGAUCACAAGUUCAAGGUCAACCUGAGCAGCUUGGUGAGACCAUGUCUCAAAAAAUUCAAAGGACUGAGGAUGUAGCUCUGUGGCACAGCAGCCCUGGGUUUAAUCCUCAGUACUGAAUUCUUGAUUUCAUUUAAAAGACAACAAACAGAAGAACCCACUAGCUCCCUCAUGAUAACACCAGAAUGGCCUACAUUUUAACAACAUCAAACAGUCCCUACAAUAAAAUCACCUGUAUGUGAACACACACCCUUAAAAUAUGGUUUCAGGUCUUCCUCAUCUUAAAAGCACAUCUCCAUCAGAAAAAUAUCCAAAUUACCUGAAAGGUUUAAGAGGAAAACCAAGAUCACUGCUAAGGAGUUUGCCGGGCCCUUCACUGUGCUUAGGUGUGACAUAAAUUAACACAUACAGACUAUUUUUAUUUUUGUGACAAAAUAUCCCAUUUUAUAAAAAGCAAUGUUUACUUAAGUUGCAGGUGCCAUUUCAUGCUAAGUAAAGCUCAGUGUCAGUGUCACCAGUCGACUUCAGGGCCUUAGGGGAGGGACUAGGACGAGGUUCUUUCCACCUGUCCACCGUCGUCCAGGGUCAUUGCCGUGAAUGUGGUGAGCACCCUGGGAACGCCCAGCUUGUGAGACCAUUCAGAACGGGGCAUUCCUCUAAGUGCGUGGGUCACCUUGGUGUUCAAGCUCACAGGUUCUUCUGAUGCCACCAGGUACGUUGGCACUGUUGCACGGCCACCCGCUGAGUCAGACGUGAAUGCACACUCAUCUCGCAGCUCCACAGAAGCAACCCGUCCUGGUGAAACGUGUUAGGACAGCACUCGAAAAAUCAAAGGCUUGCCAAACAUUUAAAUAUCAUUUUCAACUAUUUUAGUAUCUCCGCCUUUGAGAAGGUGACCUGAUGUCCAAGUAGUUGGGAAAUCCUUGUUUGUCAUAUCCUUGAGGUACCAAAAAAAAAUAAAAAAAGUUGGAUGUUUACCUGCUGGGUUUACAAAUGUCGUAGAAACAUCAUGGGUUGUCUUAGGAGAUGCUGAAGAUUUAAGGGCUAAACUAUUUGAAUCUGCAAAUCUGAUCAGAUUGCAUCGAUUUUUCUCCUGUUUUCUUAGGAUGCUCAUAAGCCCAAUUUGGUAAGAAAAGGCAAUUAUUCUGAAAUUGACUUAAAGGUGAUUUGGGGUUAUUUUCUGUGUAUUAAAAUGUAAACAACAUUUAAGUGUUUGGAAACACAAAAAAGGAGUGCAUCAAAAAAUGAAUAAAAUAAAAAAU